CCUACGGGUGGCAGCAGUGGGGAAUAUUGCACAAUGGGGGCAACCCUGAUGCAGCGACGCCGCGUGAGUGAUGAAGUUUUUCGGUACGUAAAGCUCUAUCAGGAGGGAAGAAAACGACGGUGCCUGACUAAGAAGCCGCGGCUACCUACGUGCCAGCAGCCGCGGUAAUACGUCGGGGGCAGGCGUUAUCAGGAUUAACUGGGUGUAAAGGGAGGGUCGGCGGCAGAGGAAGUAUGAAGUGAAAUACCAUGGCUUAACCAUGGAACUGCUGUGGAAACUGGGAAGCUGGAGUGCAGGAGAGGUAAGCGGAAUGCCUAGUGUAGCGGUGAAAUGCGUAGAUAUUAGGAGGAACACCAGUGGCGAAGGCGGCUUACUGGACUGUAACUGACGUUGAGGCUCGAAAGCGUGGGGAGCAAACAGGAUUAGAUACCCGAGUAGUC
rnacentral:rRNA from 1 species